rnacentral:rRNA from 1 species
UACGUAGGUGGCAAGCGUUGUCCGGAAUUAUUGGGCGUAAAGCGCACGUAGGCGGACAUUUAAGUCAGGGGUGAAAUCCCGGGGCUCAACUCCGGAACGGCCUUUGAUACUGGGUGUCUUGAGUUCGGAAGAGGUGAGUGGAAUUCCGGGUGUAGCGGUGGAAUGCGUAGAGAUCCGGAAGAACACCGGUGGCGAAGGCGGCCUGCUGGGCAGUGGCUGACGCUGAGGCGCGACAGCGUGGGGAGCAAACAGG